CAGGUACGUUUUGCUGCAAUCUGGCUGUUGGGGAACAUGGUGGCGGAAAGAACCAGUGUGCUCCUUUGGAUCCCGCCCCCCCUUAAAAAGUACAAAGGUGAGAGAGAAGAGUGCAUUAGAGCGGCGACUGUGAGGCGUAACACUGCAGCGAUACGUGUUUCUCUUCCGUUGCCUUGGAUUUGGACAGCCUCUCUCGUUUGCCGACUCCUUGCUUGUCCCUGGACUCUGACGUCUAUCUCUGCCCCACGGACCCCUCACGGAUCUUGGACUCCUUUUGCCUUGCCCUCUUUGGUUUUGUCUGCUUCCUCAUUCAACAUUUACGGUAACACACACUUCGGUUAAUCUACACACAUAGUAACACAUGUUCACACUCUUGGA